GGGCAGAUGGCCGAGUGGUCUAAGGCGCUAGUUUUAGGCACUAGUCUUCGGGCGUGGGUUCAAAUCCCACUCUGCUCA
rnacentral:tRNA from 2 species